rnacentral:misc_RNA from 1 species
UCCGUGUUAACCACGGCAGUCUCUCUAGAGUGCCCAACUGAAUGCUGGCAACUAAAGACAAGGGUUGCGCUCGUUGCGGGACUUAACCCAACAUGUCACACACGAGCUGACGACAGCCAUGCAGCACCUGUCUCCCGGCAGUAUUGCUACUGAAACUGUAUUUCUACAGCGGUCCGGGGAUGUCAAACCCAGGUAAGGUUUUGCGCGUUGCGUCGAAUUAAACCACAUGCUCCACCGCUUGUGCAGGCCCCCGUCAAUUCAUUUGAGUUUUAACCUUGCGGCCGUACUCCCCAGGCGGAUAACUUAAUGCGUUAGCUGCGCCACCUAAACACCAAGUGUCCAGACAGCUAGUUAUCAUCGUUUACGGCGUGGACUAC